GCUGAGAGCUUUUCUUGCGAGUGUGCAGGGAGGGACUUUCUAUUUCCAAGCAAGACUAUGGCUGGGCAGCUCACCUGUACCCUCCACACUGACGUUUUAGAUUGGUUGUGUUUUCCUCCACGUCGUCGUCGUCGUCCUCUUCCUCCAUUCCUGAACAUUCUUUAGGAGAGGUAGAUGCCAAGCAUUCCUAGUGAAAGCAUCCCAGACUACAAGGCUCCAAAAUACAAGAGUGGAACAAGAAACUUCUGCAGUUGGUGAGCAAUCAUACUGUGCUUUUCACCGCCAACGAGGACAUUCCACCCGUGACUGCCGAGCGAAACCAAAAGGAUAGCCAGGCCAGACAGCGAGCCUGGACUGAACCUUACGUCAAAAUUUCGGGAGCAGUUCUUUGGGAGGCCGAUGAGAAGUUGCAAAGCUGGUAGACCCAUGAUUCAUCUACAUGUGAAAGGCGUCAAGUUAAGGUGCCUGAUAGACACAGAAACAUUACCUUAAACCAAGUAGGAAGCUCUUGGGAGUGUCUGGAACCAAUUUGGAU